rnacentral:rRNA from 1 species
AGCCACCACCAAGCCCAAACAAAAACACAAACAACCAAAAAAACAACCAAAACAUUUGCCACAAGAAAGUAGCUGCGACCGAACCCAACCACAGACGCAAUAGAGACAGUACUGUGAAGAAAAGGUGAAAGAAACACCACAAGCAAAAAAAAGCAGGAAUAAAACCCCGUACCUCUUGCAUUACCGUUUAGCAAGAACCCCCAGACAAGAUGACACCCAAGUCUGACCCCCCGAAUGCAAGUGAGCUAUUUUUAGGCAGUUAAUAGAACGAACCCCCUUCUGUAGCAAAAGAACGGGAAGACCUGAAAAUAGAGGCGAAAAACCAAUCGAACUUGCCGAUAGCUGGUUGCCUGAUACAUGAACUUUAGUUCAAUCUUGGGGGACCAUGUAGAACACUAACACACCCUUCUCCCAAGAACUAGUCAAUGAAGGUACAGCUCCAUUGACAAAGGAUACAGCCUUAACCAGAGAGUAAGCACACCAACACAAACUGUAGGCUUCAAAACAGCCACCAAAGAAUAUCUCGUCAUAGUAAUAAAAUAAAAAUACAAUACACACCGCACCUCCUGACCACAACCCAGGCUAUUCUACAUUAGUAGAAGAAACGAUGCUAAAACUAGUAAUAAGAAACAUUCUCCAAAGACAAAAUUUUAAUCUUAUCAGACCAUAAAAGGAAACAUGAAACUUUAUUUUUCCGCAUAAAACAAACUGUAAGACCAACUCAGGAUUGCCUACGGAUGACCCAAAGCCUAAAAAGGAACUCGGCAAACACCCCCUCCAACUGUUUACCAAAAACAUAGCCUUUAGCCAACCAAGACAUAUUAAAGGUGUUGCCUGCCCAGUGAGGGUAGACCCCUUAAAUGGCCGCGCUUAUAACCGUGCAAAGGUAGCAAAAUCAUUUGUCCCCCAAAUAGGGACCCGCAUGAACGGCUACAUGAGAGAGGGACUGUCUCUUUAGGCCGGCCAAUGAACCUGAACUGUCCGUGCAAACGCGGACAUACAAAAACAAGACAAAAAGACCCUGUGAAACUUUAAGUGUCCAUCAACUAAUGAUCGAGACAUUUUUGGUUGGGGCAACCAAAGAGAAACACAAAUCUCAUAAACCCGUCACGCGGCCAACAAGCCAACCGACACAAACCAAAUCGACCCAGUACUACUGAUCAAAGAACCAAGCUACUCCAGGGAUAACAGCGCCACAUUCUUAAAGAGUCCAUAUCAGCAAGAAUACUUACGACCUCGAUGUUGGAUUAGGGUAUCCCAAUGGCGCAAAAGCUAUUAAGGGCUCGUUUGUUCAACGAUUAAAACCCCACGUGAUCUGAGUUCAGACCGGAGCAAUCCAGGUCGGUCUAUAUCUGUUUAAGCGCUUCACCCAGUACGAGAGGACCGAUGAAGCAGGGGCCAUUUUAAUAUUACCCCCUAACUGCUAAAAACUGCGAACGAAUAAAAUCCAUCGCAGACCCCCCGCCCCGCCCCAAAAAAAGGGGUUGCCCACACGCCUAGCGUGUGGGCAAAAAUUGCG